rnacentral:lncRNA from 1 species
AUAUUGUUAUUAUAAAGCCAAAAUAUAUAUAAAAUGCAGAGUCCGUAUUCGGUUAUGGUGUUUGUAAAAGUACCAAGCACUUGGUGCUUGUAAAUUUCUUACCGUUAGAUUUAUGUCUUAAUUUGAUCAUUUUCAAUCGUUAGAUAUACUAUUCAACCAACUACCCACUCAACCCUAGGAGGCCCACAUCAUCUUAACCGCACUUUUCUUAAUCCAACGGCCAAAAAUAUACAAACACCAAUAACUUGGUACUUUUAACAGCAUAG